GUUUCCAGCUGAGAAAGCAGCAGGGGCGUCACUGCCUGAAACCAUGUACUUGAGAACACAGGCUGAAAACACUACCCGUGACUCUCCAUUCUGGAAAUUACAUAACCAAUAAAACAAUACUUUGUUACAAUGAAGACUAAAAUAAAAGAGGAGGACAUUCUUACCAAAGUUUAAGAACUAUGGAAGGCAUAGGGAAGGAAGUUUCCCCAGACUCAGGCUACCUCAAACUUAGUCUGCCUUAUGCUGGACAGCAAAGGUUUCUGGACUUGAAAACCCCACAGGAGUAUUCUGAGUUGUGGAGACCCUAAGGAGGGCUCACCACAGGCAGCCAGUCACACACUGACCCCACACUGGCCAUGUCCCCUGUGCAGGAAAGAGUACACAGGAUCCCACUGACCCCUAGACCUGCCCCUAAGUGCCCCCUCCUUCUGCUGGCUUGCCCAGUAUUCACGGACAGUUCCCUGUCUUAGUCAUCUAGCGCUGCUGUAAUGGAAAUACCACAAGUGGGUGGCUUUAACAAACAGAAACUUAUUCUCUCACAGUUUAGGAGGCUAGAAGUCCGAAUUCAGGGCGCCAUCUCUGGCGUAAGGCUUUCUCUGCUGGCUCUGGGGUAAUGUCUUUGUCUCUUCAGCUUCUAUUCCUUGGCUCCUUGGUGAUCUUCACGUGGCAUGGCGUCUAUCUUCUCCCAUCUCUGCUUGCUUGUUUAAUCUCCUUUAUAUCUCAAAAGGGAUUGACUCAACACACACCCUACACUAAUCCUGUCUCACAAACAUAAUACAGAAAACCCAUUCCCAAAUGGGAUCAUAACCACAGGUGUAGGAGUUAGGAUUUACACUACAUAUUUUGGGGGGACACAUUUCAGUCCGUGACAUCCCCCAGCCUCAAAGGGGUCGUGCCUGUGCAGAGCCUCCUGGGAAGGUCUGAAGGGGAUCUGAGGAUGGCGAGAUGAAGGGUUAUCUGGCAACACAGCUCCUGAAGGUCAGCAGGGUAAGAGGUUCUAGAUGGAGCAACCCAGAGAGGCCCAGGGGAGACAGAGGCAGAACCAACAGGCAAAGGGCCAGCAGUGAGAGCCAGGAAACUUGCAGGAACAGAGGAACAGAGUGGCACGGAAGGACAGGUUACUGGCAAAAAAGAGCCUUGGUGGCUGUCCUCACCUUUGCUGCCUCAUCUCCUCUAUCUCGGGUGAAACCCGAUCCUAAGUCAGUUUGUCCUGAAAGUCUGCAGGUGGCAUCUUGCGGCCCAGAUAGCUGGGUGGCUAUGGCAGGGCAGAAGCAAGGCCUGGCAGAAGUGGUUCCUGCCCCAUUUGAUCUCUCCCGGGGCAGCAAGGCCUCUUGGUCUUGACUUGUUAUUGCUCAAUUUCCCUGUUGCUGACCGUUGAACAAUGCACAGGGCGACCGCCCACUGGAGGAAAAAUGUUUUUCUCUCGGUGGAAGAAGUAAUGCUAACCAAUGAUCCAUUCAGCCUGCAAAGCAAAUGUGUUUGCUAAGCCAACACUUAUCUGAUGACAAACGUUUGCUGGGAUACACACAAAUAUCACUACGAUCUGUGGUCAUGGAUGAGAACCAAAUCCCGGAGGAUGUAGAUGAGUUGAUGCAUGGGGCGUCGACGUACGAAGUCCAGCAGUCCAGGGCAGGAAAGCAUGGUUGGUAAGAAUACUGGCAGAACUGGCCUGUUCCAGAACCUUCUUUCGAAGGACACUUAUUUUAGCCAUUAGAAGAGACCUGGGAAACUCAAGGUGGCACUGCAACCUGCAGGGCUCACUGGGCCCAGCCCUGACUAUGAAUCCCUGGUGUAGUUGUAGUAGGGGUGGACAGAGAGGAGGAAGUAGAGCGGGGCAGCAAUGGGCCUGAACCUGAACUGAAGACUCAGCUUUAUAGGAUGUGGGAGGACCAGCCAGGACAUCUGGGAGUGGGGUCAAGGGCAGUUGAGGCAAAGAACUGCUUUUAGAAAUAAUAUAUCAGUUUAAAGAUAACUUCCCCGCUCUCAGACGGUUUUACUAACUGCUCUAAUUUGGAAAUGUUCUGUGGUUCAAGGCUGACACCCAUAAGCUGAGCACUUCUUAAGCCAUGACCUGAAGACUUGAAACCCCAGGCUUGGAAUGGACCAGUCUGUUUUCCUGGGACUUGUGUUAAGGUUGCAUUUAGCACUACGCUGUUCCAGGACUUUGAAGAAACACACGUUGCUGUGGCACAAGAUAUGGAAGAGAGAAGUGAGCAGAGACAUGGGGACCUCAUACCACCAAGAAAGCAGCACUGGGAGCAGAGUGCGUCCUUUGGACCUGAGGUUCCUGGGCUGAGAUGCUCCCAGACCAAGGAAAGACAGAUGACAAGGACCUUCUUCCAGAGCCAACAGAGAGAGAAAGCCUUCCCCUGGAGCUGGUGCCCUGAACUCGGACUUCAAGCCUACUGGACUGUGAGAGAAAAAAUUUCUCUUUGUUAAAGCCAUCUACUUGCGUUAUUUCUGUUAUAGCAGCACUAGGUGACUAAGACAGCAUCCUCCAUCUCAAACGUCACUUCCUCAGGAAGUGAUCUCUGAUCCCCAGGCUAGGUCAGCUCUUGCCCUCCCUCCAGCCCCCAAUCUCCCCGAUGAUUCCAACCACAGCUUGCUGAAUUACUUGGCACAUAGUAGGUGCUCAAUAAGUAUUUGCUGAAAGACAGUAUGACUCACCCAUCUUCAAGCAGUGAUGUUGGACUAACCAACCUGUUGGCUCUGAAGCCAAGUUGCAGAGUGAUUUUGGUAAGUGUUGUAAUCAAUCUAGAUCAACAUUUUCCAUGCUGUGGAUGACAAUCCAUAGUAGGUUGGAAAUUAAUUUGAUGGGUCAUGUUCGGCAUUAAAAUAUCCUUUAGUUGUUUGCGUGUGAGUGUAUGUAUACUGGUCUGUGAUAUAAAAUGCAUUUCUUACUGUGUUCCCCAGUCAAAAAGUUUGAAAGCCCUACCUCUAAAUCUCUUUCCCAAGUACGGAUGAAGGCAUUGGAUUUUAUGUUCUCUAAAAAAAAAUUUUUUUUCUUUUUUUUAACACCCUCAGUCUCCUUUUUAGGUUCAUUUUUCUGUCUUAAACUUUUGUAUUCCACAACUCUUCUUACUCUAUACUCUCUAGACCUUAGAGAAAUCAAGGUUUCAAUUUACUCUACAAUCAUGGUGGCUUUCAAGCAUAUCUCCUUCUCCAGCUGACAGCUCUACCCUGAGCUCCCUACAUGCCCUCUUCAACCAAAAACCAAACCUAUUGUCAUCGAGGCAGUUCCGACUCAUUGCAACCCUAGAGGACAGAGCAGGGCUGCCACAUAGGGUUUCUGAAGAAUGGCUGGUAGAUUCAAACUGCUGACCUUUUGGUUAGGAGCUGGGCUCUUACAGACACCUCUAACUCUACAUGUCGAAACCAACAACAGCAGCAGCUACCAUUUAUUGCUGAUAAAGUAUGUAUGAAGGGCUUCAUUGUUUGGUCCUACAAGAAUCUUAUGCAGCAAAUCCUAUGUAUUACCUCUUAUGACUUCUGUUUUAUAUAGAUGAAGAAACUCUGAGGCACAGGGAAUUUAAAUACUUCCCCUCCCCCUGACCACACACCUAGCGAGUUCACAAUCUGAAUCCUGGAAUGUCUGACGUCCAUAUCAUAUUUCUGCAAUGUUUUCCUAACUGCACGCCCCCCAUCACCGCAGUUCUCAAACCAUCUUGUAACUGGUUACUUGCUGUAGCCCCCAGCAGACUGCAAGGUCCACGAAUGCCAAGAUGCCACCUAUCCUUUGUACUGCCAGCACCUAGCACAGUUUUCGACUCCGAAUUUUUUUCUUGAAUGAAAGGAAGAGUGAAUGAAUUUUAAAAUUCUAUGACUGGCUAGCAAGUAAGGCAAGCAGGGAGAGAGCCAGUCAGAGUGAGGACAUGCAUCUACUUAACAUUUUGUGUUUUCAGUAAAUACAAUGUAAUUGUCUGGGUGGAAGGAGCCCUGGUGGCACAGAAGUUAAGGUGCUCGGCUACUAACUGAAAGGUUGGUAGUUUGAACUCACCAGUUGCUCCGCAGGAGAAAGGUGUGGCAGUCUGCUUCCAUACUAAAGAUUACAGUCUUGGAAACCCUAUGGGGCAGUUCUACUCUCUCCUAUAGGGUUGCCAUGAGUCCGAAUCGACCCAAUGGCAACAGGUUUUUUU